GAUGAACGCUGGCGGCGUGCUUAACACAUGCAAGUCGAACGAGAAGUGGAGACGGAAACCUUCGGGCGGAAGACUUUAUUUCGAGUGGCGGACGGGUGAGUAACGCGUGGGUAACCUGCCUCAUACAGGGGGAUAACAGUUGGAAACGACUGUUAAUACCGCAUAAGACCACAGCACCGCAUGGUGCGGGGGUAAAAACUCCGGUGGUAUGAGAUGGACCCGCGUUCGAUUAGCGAGUUGGCGGGGUAACGGCCAACUAAAGCGACGAUCGAUAGCCGAGCUGAGAGGAUGACCGGCGACAUUGGGAAUGAGACACGGCCCACACUCCGACGCGAGGGAGCAGUGGGUAAUAUUGCACAAUGGGGGAAAACCUGAUGCAGCGACGCCGGGUGAGUGAAGAAGUAGGUCGGUAUGUAAAGCUCUAUCAGCAGGGAAGAAAAUGACGGUACCUGAGUAAGAAGCACCGGCUAACUACGUG
rnacentral:rRNA from 1 species